UUCUCUCAUUCACAUCACAAACUCUUUUCAGACAUCAUGAUGAUGGUGCAAAGACAUCUCCGACAUGUACUAGAAUUCUAGUCUAGUUGUUACAUGUAGUUUUUUUUGGUUUGGGGAAAAAUUGUCAAUGAAUGUCACUCUCUGCAGCUCAAAUAUAAAUUAAAAUGAUGGUUUGCUAACAAACGACACUUACAGAUUCUUCAGGCAACCUAGAAAAGAGCUGAAAUUACCAAAAAAGUGCUGUGCUCAUUAUCUGUUAAUAAAAUAGUUUAUAUCAUUAGUAUUUUGUGUCUUUAGAUUUGCUAGAAAUAUUUAGAUUUUUCCAUUCAGAUUGGCAAUUUUAUCACCGAACCAAAAGAUACUGAACCUAAAGGCAUAGGAAUACGUUCACAACCUGAUUGGUUGGAUUUUAUGACGUAUUACCUAUUUUGAGACACAACUUACCGAACAUCCAAAACAAUGCUGUGUGCUGAGGUAAAUGCACUUGUUGUGUGUGCGCGUAUCCUGCAUAUGAUGGUAUUUUGGCCAGCUGGGAGUCAAAGGAGUCAAAACAGCGGCGGCAAUCCCUCCGUCACACACACAAACGAUCUGCUGUGUGGAGACGCGCGUCUGAUGCCUGUGAUGGGCAAACUCGCGACUAUGACGAGAAAAACUGAUAUGCGCGAGGAUUCUGUACUGGGGUCUCAUCUUCCUGUUUUUGGUUCGUUUACAUGUCUUUGGUCCGUGUUGCGUUCAUAUAUCAUUCGAACUGCACCAGAGUUCGCUAGGAAGCAGACCGAGACCCAUCUUUUCAGCGGUCUUGGCCCUCUUGUUUGGUGUGCACCAGGGUUCGGAUGGCAGCGUUCACACAUGUUCAAAUGAACCGCACUAACAGAGCAAUCACACCAGGGUUCGUUUUAAUCGAACCAAACAUGACAAGUGUGAACACGCCCUUAAAAUAUGUCUGUGCCAUUGUUUCGUCUCAAGAUGCACAGCAGUGAUGUUUUUUUUCUAAGGCAUGUUUAUAAAAACUACUUAAAUGCCCUAAUUGAACCAAGGCCUAAUCAUGGCUUAAUCUAAGCCCUGUCUGUGAAACCAGCCAUAAAUGUUUAAGUUUGCAAAGUAAAAAAAAAAAAAAAAAAAGAGUAU